UGGAAGUACAGCUUAUUUUCCUCCAGGACGUUUACGGUGCAGCUUCUGUCAAACUGAACAGACUUAAUCCACCAAUCAGAUGAGAAAAUAAACCCUGCAGUGGAGAAGAUAAAUGUGGAUAAGAUGUCAGAGAAGCUCAAUCCAUCUCUUAAAAAGAGCUCCAUGAUGGCGGCUGAACCCCCCACAUCUCAUCACUGUGACAGUCCUGGUGAGGUUCACACCAAACAUGAAGACGGCAAUGAGAAAAUAGACCCUACAGUGGAGAAGAUAAAUGUGGAUAAAAUGUCAGAGAAACUCAAUCAGUCUCUGAUAAAGGAGCACACCUCUGCAAUGAAAAAAUAAUGUCUAAUGAUUGUGGGAAGCUGCUGUGACCUAUGAAGAGACAUUUAGUUUCACUUUAGACGUCUGACUCUGGCCAACAGUUAAAUAUUAACAUAUCACUGUUGCUCUGUGUGAUAAAACAAACGUCCUGUAAAUCAUUACAUUAAAUCUGCAAUAAAAGCACAACUUCAAUCAUUUUCUUCAACUGCAAUAAGGGUUCAGUAAUUU